GCUUACGGCCACACCGCCUUUUUCACGCUUUAUCUCGGAAGCUAAGAUAGGUUGUGCCUGGUUAGUACUUGGAUGGGAGACCGCCUGGGAAUACCAGGUGCUGUAAGCU
rnacentral:rRNA from 1 species